GAUGAACGCUGGCGGCGUGCCUAAUACAUGCCAGUCGAGCGAACAGAUGAGGAGCUUGCUCCUCUGACGUUAGCGGCGGACGGGUGAGUAACACGUGGAUAACCUACCUAUAAGACUGGGAUAACUUCGGGAAACCGGAGCUAAUACCGGAUAAUAUAUUGAACCGCAUGGUUCAAUAGUGAAAGACGGUUUUGCUGUCACUUAUAGAUGGAUCCGCGCCGCAUUAGCUAGUUGGUAAGGUAACGGCUUACCAAGGCAACGAUGCGUAGCCGAACUGAGAGGGUGAUCGGCCACACGGGAACUGAGACACGGUCCAGACUCCUACGGGAGGCAGCAGUAGGGAAUCUUCCGCAAUGGGCGAAAGCCUGACGGAGCAACGCCGCGUGAGUGAUGAAGGUCUUCGGAUCGUAAAACUCUGUUAUUAGGGAAGAACAAAUGUGUAAGUAACUAUGCACGUCUUGACGGUACCUAAUCAGAAAGCCACGGCUAACUACGUG
rnacentral:rRNA from 1 species